GCUCCCCAUGUGGGGCCAGGCUGGGUGCUGCGCAGGUGGCCCUGCAUCCCCUGUAUGGAGGCUGGAGGGGAAAAGCUGAGCAUCAGCACCAGGUGAAAGUCCCCACACCUUCACAUGGGGUACACCAGGACGGCUUGUAUGUGGUGAUAUGGGGAAGCCCCAUCCCUCCUGCCGUCCUGCUUCACCUCAGCCAUUAACCUCAAUGAUCCCUUCUCUGCUUGACCUCUUUGAUCAAAUCCAUCACAUCCCUGGAAGCUGCAUUCUUUUCUAAGGAGCUUACGUGGAGUCAGACUCAGUACUCAGCGCUUCAGAGGACCGGCUUGCAGGCAGCUCAAUGGGGUCUAAGGAUUGCUGGAGCUCCUUAAUUGGUGGUGUGAGACCUGCAGAGUAGGUAACGGAACAUCAUGAGCUCUGUGUUGGUGCAUUGCUUGUAUGCAGCUAGGUUUGUGAUGACUGUGGGAAGCUCACUUAGGGAUUGAAUGGGGUUGCAAGGGGCUCACCUCAAUCCAUGGAGUCUGUUAUCCCAUCCCACUGAGCUCCGUGGCUGGUGGUAGAGUGAAGUGCAUCAGCCAGGACCUGAAGAACACUCCUGAACUCCAGUGGCCAUUUGCUUCAUCCUCACUCAGUAUAAUACAGUCUGUACCACCCGAGCAUACUGACCACAAGUAUUCUGUUCCCGUUUUGUCAGGUUCUCUCCUAUAUCUCCCUUACAAAUCUGUCAGUGGUAACAGAUGCCAAGGCAUAGUUCUCAGAGCACAUUGUGGCUGACCACCCCAGGGUCCUAUGGUUCUUUCUGUUUUUAUGACAGAUCUGGCUUUGUAUUUAUAGGAAACAAAGGAUUGUCCUCUACUGGACCACUUUGUCAGGAUCAUCCUGGAUAUCUCCAUCCCAAUUGUCAGGGGAUGCUAUUAGUUUCCUAAUUUGUAUGAUACCCAAAUUCCCCACCCCUCUUCCUUCCAUCCCCUGAACCCCAUUCAAUAGCUAGCUCUGCAGCUAUGGGACUCAACAGUGUGAUGAAGCAAGGCCUCUGAUCUGCUGAAUACCGGGACUGGCACAGAGAGGCUCUGUGGAUCUUCCUGACCGGAGUACUUGGUGAGUUACCCCAGAGCUGCUGAGCAUGCAGGCUUCCCCACCUGCCCUGAUUGCACACCAGGCCAUCAAUGUCCUUUGUGUCAUCGUGUCUCACGGCUUCAGGUAUAGACUCCUUAGAGUUGGAAGGGACCAUUUAUGAUGAUCUUGUCCAACUCCCCCACAAUGAACAGGGACGUCCACAGCUAGAUCAGGCUGCCCAGAACCUGAUCCAGCCUCCCCUUGAAAGAUCCCCUUUAGGUUCUGAAAGACUGUUACCAGGUCACCUCGGAGCCUGAACAGCCCCAGCUCUCUCAGCCUGUCCUUGUAGGAAAGGUGUUUGAUCCCUUGGUUCAUUUUUUUGUGGCCAACCUCUGGUUGUGCUCCAACAGGUCCAUGUCUCUUCUGCACUGAGGACUCUACAUCUGGAUGCAGUACUCCAGACCAGGAUAUGGUUGGUUUUCUGGGCUGGGAGGGCACAUUGCUGGCUCACGUCCAGCUUGCCGUCCACCAGUACCUCCAGGUCUUUUGGGACAGGCCUAUGCUCAGCCCUUUCAUCCCCCGGUAUGUAUUGGUAGCGGGGGGUUCUCUUGUCCCAGGUGCAAGACACUGCAUCUGGAUUUGUCGAACCUGAUGAGAUUUCCCUGUACCCGUUGCUUGAGCCUGUCCAGCUCUGGUUGGUGUCCUGUCCCUCUGGUGUGUCACUGCACCCCACAGCUUGGUGUUGUCAGCAAACUUUCUGAGGGUGUGCUCGACCCCACUGAUGUCGCCGUUGAAGAUAUUGAACAGUAUCAGCCUCAGCAUGGGCCCAUGUGGGACACCACUCAUCACCAAUCGCCAUCCAGACAUGGAGCCAUUGGCCGCCGCUCUCUGGACCCAAUCCUGCAGCUGGUUCUUUGUCCAUUCAACAAUCCACCCAUCAAAUCUGUAUCUUUCCCAUUUGGAGAGAAGGAUGUUGCAGGAUAUUGUGUCAAAGGCCUUACUGACAUCCAGGUUGAUGGUAUCAGUGGCUCUUCACUUGUCUAUUGAUGCAGUGAUGCCAUCAUAGACAGCCACUAGGUUGGCCAUGCAGGAUUUUUACCCUCGGUGAAGACAAGCUGGUUCUCCUGUAUCUCCUCCCUGUCUUGCAUGUGCCUUAACGCAACUUCCAGGAGGAUCUACUCUGUGCUCUUUCCCAGCACAGAGGUGAGACUGUUACAUUGGUAGUUCCCAGGAUCAUCCUUUCUUCCCUUCUUAAAAAUGGGUGUGAUGCUGCCUUUUUUCCAGUCGCUCAGAGAGGCGCUAUUUUUGAUCUAAUGCAACGGCUUCCUGAAAUUCAGUCCAAUCCAAAUUCUCUGCUGUCUAGUUACAAGGACUUCCAACAGACUGUGAGCUCGGGCUUUGCAGGCCAGUAGUGAAGCCAACAGGGAGGCCUCCGGAUUUUCAAAAAGGACUGAGAAGGCUGAGAAUCAGGUGCUUUGUUUGACUUUUUUACUGGCUGUCUUUCCUAAGGAUUCUGGCUGUCAGUAGGCACAUUUGGCUGGUUUGGCUGGAGCUUUGGUGCUUGGUGCUUAUAACUUGAGUUCUUUAUGACACAGAGCUGUGCCACUUGCUGCCUACACCAAAUACACGUGUUGUUGGAGGAGAUUACUCUGUGCACUGUAUUGGUUUUUUUUUUUUUUUUUUUUUUUUUUUUUUAAUGCUUUUAAAGUGUGAGGAUGGUAUCUGCCUUCAAACAAAGAAUGUCUAAAAGCAAUUGAUUUUUCUUUUUUUCUUGGAGCAGUUGUUCAGGGAAAUGUGGAUUCUUUCUUCUCUGCCGCUAUGUUUCCCAUAGCAGUAUUCUAGGAAUGGCUUCUGUCUUCGAUUGCUUACUUGCUUUUUUCAGUAUGGAAACAUUACAUUCUCUUUCUUGUGCCUA